CCUACGGGUGACAGCAGUGAGGAAUAUUGGUCAAUGGGCGCGAGCCUGAACCAGCCAAGUAGCGUGAAGGAUGACUGCCCUACGGGUUGUAAACUUCUUUUAUCAAGGAAUAAAGUGAGGCACGUGUGCCUUUUUGUAUGUACUUUAUGAAUAAGGAUUGGCUAACUCCGUGCCAGCAGCCGCGGUAAUACGGAGGAUCCGAGCGUUAUCCGGAUUUAUUGGGUUUAAAGGGAUCGUAGAUGGGGUGUUAAGUCACUUGUGAAAGAUUGCGGGUCAACCGUAAAAUUGCAAUUGAUACUGGCAGCCUUGAGUACAGUUGAGGUAGGCGGAAUUCGUGGUGUAGCGGUGAAAUGCUUAGAUAUCACGAAGAACUCCGAUUGCGAAGGCAGCUUACUAAACUGCCACUGACAUUGAUGCUCGAAAGUGUGGGUAUCAAACAGGAUUAGAUACCCUUGUAGUC
rnacentral:rRNA from 1 species